rnacentral:rRNA from 1 species
GACGAACCGUGCGAACGUUGUUCGGAAUCACUGGGCAUAAAGGGCGCGUAGGCGGCUUUUCAAGUCAGGGGUGAAAUCCGGCAGCUUAACUGUCGAAGUGCCUUUGAUACUGGGAAGCUCGAGGGAGGUAGGGGUGUGUGGAACUUCCGGUGGAGCGGUGAAAUGCGUUGAUAUCGGAAGGAACGCCGGUGGCGAAAGCGACGCGACUGGACCUCUUCUGACGCUGAGGCGACGGAAA